GACGAACGCUGGCGGCGUGCUUAACACAUGCAAGUCGAGCGGAAAGGCCCUGCUUGCAGGGUACUCGAGUGGCGAACGGGUGAGUAACACGUGGGUUAUCUGCCCUGCACUUCGGGAUAAGCCUGGGAAACUGGGUCUAAUACCGGAUAGGAGCCAUUUUUAGUGUGAUGGUUGGAAAGUUUUUUCGGUGUAGGAUGAGCUCGCGGCCUAUCAGCUUGUUGGUGGGGUAAUGGCCUACCAAGGCGGCGACGGGUAGCCGGCCUGAGAGGGUGGACAGCCACAUUGGGACUGAGAUACGGCCCAGACUCCUACGGGAGGCAGCAGUGGGGAAUAUUGCACAAUGGGCGCAAGCCUGAUGCAGCGACGCCGCGUGGGGGAUGACGGCCUUCGGGUUGUAAACUCCUUUCGCUAGGGACGAAGCUUUUUGUGACGGUACCUAGAGAAGAAGCACCGGCUAACUACGUG
rnacentral:rRNA from 1 species